GGCGAGUCACACAGAGGGCGCCGCCAUGUCACCGCUCACCAGGCCCGUUGGCCUGCUGGCCGUCGUCGUCUGUCUCUUCUGCUGCUUCGGCGGAGCGCUGUCUUCCCACGAGACGGAGACGGAGCCGGCGCCCGACCCAGAAGAGAUUUACGCCAAGAUAUAUUUCGAGCUGACAAAGGAUCCGCCGGACACCACCGUGUACCCGGGGGUGCCCUUCCUGC
rnacentral:lncRNA from 1 species